rnacentral:misc_RNA from 1 species
CAACCCUCAAGCUCAGCUUGGUCUUGAGCCCCGCCGGCAACGGCAGGCUUUAAAAUUAGUGGCGGUGCCUCUAGGCUCUCAGCGUAGUAAUACUCCUCGCUCGUGGGUUCUAGGGUUGCUGGCCAGCAACCCCCAACUUCUUA